AUUGAACGCUGGCGGCAUGCCCUACACAUGCAAGUCGAACGGCAGCACGGGAGCAAUCCUGGUGGCGAGUGGCGAACGGGUGAGUAAUGUAUCGGAACGUGCCUUGUCGUGGGGGAUAACGUAGCGAAAGCUACGCUAAUACCGCAUACCAUCCAAGGAUGAAAGCGGGGGAUCGCAAGACCUCGCGCGACAAGAGUGGCCGAUAUCAGAUUAGGUUGUUGGUGGGGUAAAGGCCUACCAAGCCGACGAUCUGUAGCUGGUCUGAGAGGACGACCAGCCACACUGGGACUGAGACACGGUCCCGACUCCUACGGGGGGCAGCAGUGAGGAAUAUUGGGCAAUGGGCGGAAGCCUGACCCAGCAACGCCGCGUGGAGGAUGAAGGCCUUCGGGUCGGUAAACUCCC
rnacentral:rRNA from 1 species